rnacentral:rRNA from 1 species
CUACGGGUGGCUGCAGUGGGGAAUAUUGGACAAUGGGCGAAAGCCUGAUCCAGCCAUGCCGCGUGUGUGAAGAAGGCCUUCGGGUUGUAAAGCACUUUCAGUGGGGAAGAAAGCCUUGGGGCUAAUACCCUCGAGGAAGGACAUCACCCACAGAAGAAGCACCGGCUAACUCCGUGCCAGCAGCCGCGGGAAUACGGAGGGUGCGAGCGUUAAUCGGAAUUACUGGGCGUAAAGCGCGCGUAGGCGGUCUGAUAAGCCGGUUGUGAAAGCCCCGGGCUCAACCUGGGAACGGCAUCCGGAACUGUCAGGCUAGAGUGCAGGAGAGGAAGGUAGAAUUCCCGGUGUAGCGGUGAAAUGCGUAGAGAUCGGGAGGAAUACCAGUGGCGAAGGCGGCCUUCUGGACUGACACUGACGCUGAGGUGCGAAAGCGUGGGUAGCAAACAGGAUUAGAUACCCUGGUAGUC